UACGUAGGGGGCGAGCGUUGUCCGGAAUUAUUGGGCGUAAAGAGCUCGUAGGCGGCUCAGCAAGUCGGUCGUGAAAACCCGGGGCUCAACCCUGGGAGGCCGGUCGAUACUGCUGUGGCUAGGGUCCGGUAGAGGAGAGUGGAAUUCCCGGUGUAGCGGUGGAAUGCGCAGAUAUCGGGAGGAACACCAGUAGCGAAGGCGGCUCUCUGGGCCGGUACCGACGCUGAGGAGCGAAAGCUAGGGGAGCAAACAGG
rnacentral:rRNA from 1 species